rnacentral:rRNA from 1 species
AUUGAACGCUGGCGGCAGGCCUAACACAUGCAAGUCGAACGGUAACAGGAAACAGCUUGCUGUUUCGCUGACGAGUGGCGGACGGGUGAGUAAUGUCUGGGAAACUGCCUGAUGGAGGGGGAUAACUACUGGAAACGGUAGCUAAUACCGCAUAACGUCGCAAGACCAAAGAGGGGGAACAUCGGGCCUCUUGCCACCGGAUGUGCCCAGAUGGGAGUAGCUAGUAGGUGGGGUAACGGCUCACCUAGGCGACGAUCCCUAGCUGGUCUGAGAGGAUGACCAGCCACACUGGAACUGAGACACGGUCCAGACUCCUACGGGAGGCAGCAGUGGGGAAUAUUGCACAAUGGGCGCAAGCCUGAUGCAGCCAUGCCGCGUGUAUGAAGAAGGCCUUCGGGUUGUAAAGUACUUUCAGCGGGGAGGAAGGGAGUAAAGUCAAUACCUUUGCUCACUGACGUUACCCGCAGAAGAAGCACCGGCUAACUCCGUGCCAGCAGCCGCGGUAA